rnacentral:rRNA from 1 species
GACGAACGCUGGCGGCGUGCUUAACACAUGCAAGUCGAACGAUGAAGCAAAGAAUCGAAGCUUCGGCAGAAAUUCAUUUCGGAUUAGUGGCAGACGGGUGAGUAACGCGUGAGCAACCUACCUCUUACAAAGGGAUAGCCUCGGGAAACCGGGAUUAAUACCAUAUAACAUUGCGACGAAGCAUUUCGAUGCAAUCAAAGCUACGGCGGUAAGAGAUGGGCUCGCGUCCCAUUAACCGGAUGGUGAGGUAACGGCUCACCAUAGUGACGAUGGGUAACCGGCCUGAGAGGGUGAACGGUCACACUGGAACUGAGACACGGUCCAGACUCCUACGGGAAGCAGCAGUGGGGAAUAUUGCACAAUGGAGGGAACUCUGAUGCAGCGACGCCGCGUGAGUGAUGAAGGAAUUCGUUUCGUAAAACUCUGUUCUAUGGGAAGAAAAGGACUGUACCAUAGGAGAAAGCUCCGGCUAAAUACGUG